CUGGUUGAUCCUGCCAGUAGUCAUAUGCUUGUCUCAAAGAUUAAGCCAUGCAUGUCUAAGUAUAAGCAAUAUAUACAGUGAAACUGCGAAUGGCUCAUUAAAUCAGUUAUCGUUUAUUUGAUAGUACUUUACUACUUGGAUAACCGUGGUAAUUCUAGAGCUAAUACAUGCUAAAAAUCCCGACCUCUGGAAGGGAUGUAUUUAUUAGAUAAAAAACCAAUGUCUUCGGACUCCUUGGUGAUUCAUGAUAACUUUACGAAUCGCAUGGCCUUGCGCCGGCGAUGGUUCAUUCAAAUUUCUGCCCUAUCAACUUUCGAUGGUAGGAUAGUGGCCUACCAUGGUUUCAACGGGUAACGGGGAAUUAGGGUUCUAUUCCUGAGAGGGAGCCUGAGAAACGGCUACCACAUCCAAGGAAGGCAGCAGGCGCGCAAAUUACCCAAUCCCGACGCGGGGAGGUAGUGACGAUAAAUACUGAUGCAAGGCGCUUUUGUUUCUUGUAGGCAGAGGGAAUACAUUUAAUCAAUCUUAACGACGAAGGGAUGGGUGGGCGGGAAGGCUUGUAAAUCCCCCCCGUGCCGCGCCAAUUUCGAACCUGGGUUUUUUUUUUCCGUGGGGAAAGAAAACCCCCGCCAAA
rnacentral:rRNA from 1 species